rnacentral:rRNA from 1 species
AUUGAACGCUGGCGGCAUGCUUUACACAUGCAAGUCGAACGGUAACAGGGUGCUUGCACCGCUGACGAGUGGCGAACGGGUGAGUAAUGCGUCGGAACGUGCCGAGUAGUGGGGGAUAACGCAUCGAAAGGUGUGCUAAUACCGCAUACGUACUGAGGUAGAAAGUGGGGGACCUUCGGGCCUCACGCUAUUCGAGCGGCCGACGUCUGAUUAGCUAGUUGGUGAGGUAAAGGCUCACCAAGGCGACGAUCAGUAGCGGGUCUGAGAGGAUGAUCCGCCACACUGGGACUGAGACACGGCCCAGACUACUACGGGAGGCAGCAGUGGGGAAUUUUGGACAAUGGGCGCAAGCCUGAUCCAGCCAUGCCGCGUGUCUGAAGAAGGCCUUCGGGUUGUAAAGGACUUUUGUCCGGGAGCAAAUACCCAGUGCUAAUAACGCUGGGGGCUGAGAGUACCGGAAGAAUAAGCACCGGCUAACUACGUGCCAGCCGCCGCAGUAAAAC